GUAGCUCAUCCUGCACAUCACUCCUCGUUCACACAAGCUGAAUCGCUGAAGAUGAGGAUGAUUCUUCUAUUCUGCAUCCUCUGCCUGAUGACUUCUACUGGCCACAAUCAGGCUGCAGGAGUUCCUGGACGUCCUGGACCACCUGGAGCACGUGGAGAACCUGGACCAGUUGGACCUCGUGGACCUCCUGGAAUGACUGGACCACCUGGACCACCUGGACCACCUGGACCACCUG